GUGUUGUGUCCAUUCGAGAGAGACCUGACUAGGCCGUUUCAGGUUGACGGAACUUGGUAAGCUCAAGGGACACGUCGAAGUUGGUUUGUCAACUAGAAGGCGCUCGACAUCGAGACUGUCCAGCAGUUUGUACAUGGUGGGAUGAUAUGGGCUUACAUGACUGCCUCUUCAGCUACAACUACUUGGGUGAGUCCCUGAUUUCUCCUUCCUCCUCUGUUUUCUCUGGGUGCUAGCUUUCGAGUUAUGGCCAUACCGUGUUCUGUUCUGGCCAUCGAGCCGAAGAUCUAGUGGUUGUCGUCUAUCCUAUGGUUUUAUGAUGUUAGUGUUUUCAUGUUUAGGUUUAGUCAUUUGCUAUGUGUUGAUGAUGAUGAUGAUGGUUGCAAAUGAUGUGUUAGGCACAUUUACAGAGUUGGAUGAAGAACCAUUUCAAAAAAAUAUUUUCCUAAAAUUUAUUUAGAUGGAACAGACUCUUGUUUAAUUGUUAUUUUGUUGUGCUGGCAUUUUCACUUUGAACUAUAAAUUUUGCAACUACAGCCUGCUUUUUUGCCAAUUGCGAUUAAUUGUUCACGGUAUUUGUUCUUAAGUGCAUAUCUGGAAUCAAAAGCCACGAACCAGUCAAAUUUUCUUAUUUGCAAGGAAGGUAUGGUAGACCCAAAUAGUUCCCCUUUGAACAUUUAAUGAGAUAAAAGUGUCGUAGAAACAAGCAGUCAUGUGAAACCAUCAUAUAUUCCCUACCUAUACUGGGAAUAAAUCAGCCAUAUCUGCCUAACUUAGUCCUUGUUGUGUAUCCAGCAACUGGUUGGCUGAAGCUAUUUCCCAGCUUCGUUGACCUAGAAAGAUAAACCUAGGUGGAUUCUAGGUAUGAAACCCACUUUUCUUAUUGUGAGACUUUGAGAACAGAGCCGUCACUCUGUUGGUAAGCUGUGAGGGUGCACGUUUGAGUCAUAGACUCCACGGGGUCUCAGGUUUUUUCUUCUAUAAUAAAAUGCCACCAAGGGCUCCUGUUAGGUAUCUUUUUUCUAUAUUCUGAGACCCUGAAUAUAACUUCCUGUAAUUUUGUUAUCAUUCUUCAUUUCAAGAAUCACAGAUUGUAAAGUUGAUUAGUAAAAAGAAUUUAUCUUCAAUAAAUUUGUUAUCAUCCUCUAUUAUGUAUUGUUGAAUCAAGUGGUCAAAAUAAGAAAUCAGAUGGUCAUUUCAUUUAUUUAGCUACAAGCAUGCAACAAACUCUUGGUUAUUUUUUACCUGUCCUAGCAUCUUUGAUGGAAAUGAAAACACUUGAUCUUAGAUGUGGCACCAAUAUACUUUAGGUCCAUGUUAUAACUGUCAAGAAUAUGAUACAACGUUGGGUUUUAUCUCUGGGUUUCCAGAGUUGGAUGAAGAAAUGUCGUACUGGAAGCUACUUGGUUGCUAUUGUCUAGUAGAUGAUAAUUGAUUUAUAGUCCUGUGAUGACCAGGGGUGUUCCUCCCCUAACAUAGCUACUGUGUUCAAUUUUGGUGUGGUCACUAUUAUGAUUGCUUAAGCUAUCUGUAGUGCUCUGCAUAAGUGUUAAGAGUGUAAAGUUUCAUCAUGUUUCCUUUUACAGGAGUUUUAGCUUAUUCUUUGAGGCUGCCAUAUCUUCUACAACCUCGGCGAUGGCGCCACCUCUUCUUGGUUCAGGUGAGCCCUUGAUGUCCUCUCUCCUGCUCUAAGAUGGGGUUCGGCCAUCAAGUCAUUGAUUUAGUGUUCAGAUAAAUGGUUGUGGUCUUCCGAUGGGCCACCACGAUCAUGUGAGCUUGCUGGAUUUUUGUCCCUAUUAGCUGCCUGGAUUGAUAGUUUCCAAAUGUUAAACAUUCUGGGCAGCAAAGGGCUUAGUGGGAUUAAAAAUGGUCAAACUAAGCCCUCAAAUGUUGCCUCACAGCUAGUUUUUACAUUCUGUUGUAACUAGGUAGGGUUAUUGUUGUCAAGUGCUUAAAAUCAGAGAAUGGUUUGAGUUGUCGAUUGUUUUUGUGCUGAGAUCAAAAUGCAUGUGAUUAGAUAAUGCGGUACUCUGGCAUGAUAUAGUGACUAUUCAUCAUGGUUAUGCUUCCGUUUCAAUUGUGAUUCAAUGAAUAUGCUUCUUGGUAGUAUUGGUAGGUGAUUCUUUGUCUUCUUUGAUAGGAUUGAACAAGAAAAGAGUGAUAUUCUCUACAUGAUUUCUUACCAAAUGUUAGUGAUGUGCUUUGUGGUACUGAUAAGAAGUGUGGCAUGCUUGACCUAUUCCCAUGUGCUGGUGCUGCGUGCAGUGAAUAUAGGAAUACGAUGGCUUGACUGAUUGUGACUUGCCACAGAGCUUAUUUUAACAGAGCAUCAUGGAAGAAGCUUGGUUUCAAGUUGGUACGGUCUACUAGGUGACGUUUGAUUUUAUAGGCCUUUUUUCACCAAGGCAUGGGCUUGUGUAGUGUUGUCUUGGUGAUGUGCAAUGUGUAGUAUUCCGUUCUUAGAUGGUGAGGGAUGAUGUUGCAUUGCUGAAUGGGUUCCAGAACAUACAUUCGAGAAUUUUUUUUCAUUUGGUUUGGUCAAUAUUUAUCAUGAUUUGCUUAAAUCAUAUGUGUCGUGGAGUAGCUUCAAAUGCAUGCAUCGUGCAUAGUGCUUAUCUACCCUGAACACAUGAUUACAUUCUUUACAGCCAUGGAACUUUGCUCACUUGUUUCCCCAAAGUUGUUCUUCUUCAUUUGUGUUCUCCCCAAUGCUGCAGAGGUGGCGUAGGUAAGAUAAGGCACUCCCUUCCUCUCCUAUGCUUCCUCUUCUGUUCUGUGUCUCCAUGGCCAUCGAGCCAUGGUAGGUUCUAUGCUGGCCAUGCAAAUUUCUAGGGUUUGAGGCUAUGGUGAUGGUAUGUUGUGAUAACUAGUGCCACUAUUUCUCUUCUGCUCUUUGUGUCCACAUCCAUCGUGUCGUGGUGAGCUCCGUUCUCGCCAUCGUGCCAUGGAAAGCUCUAGUCUUUUGGGCUAUGGUGAUGGCCGCCCUUUGCGUGGAUUUAGCCCCGGAAACAAGUUUUUUAGUUUGACUUGUGGUUUAUAUAAUCAAUUAAUCCCCAAUCCAGCACUAUUUCUGGUUUGUCUACCGGAUUUUUUCAUUAUUUCCAUGCAGACUAUGUAUGCGAUGCACUUGAGACUUGACCUCUACCUUUUGAGUUUUGAUACGCUCGAAUAUUGUUAUGCUAUAAUUUUGUGUCUUGUACAUUCGAGAGAGAUCUGACUAGGCUGUUACAGGUUGAGGGAACUUGAUAAGCUCAAGGGACAUGUGGAAUUUGGUUUGCCAACUAGAAGGCGCUCGGCAUCGAGACGGUCCAGCAGUCCGUACACGGUGUGAUGAUCUGGGCUUCCAUGAAUGCAUCAGCUACAACUACUUGGGUGAGUCCCUGAUCUGGGCUCCCAUUGUAUGCGUCCUACAUCUUGCUUAUCAACCCUCAACACAUGGUUACAUUCUUUAAAGCCAUGGACCUUUGCUCACUUGUUUCCCAAAGUUGUUCUUUCUUCAUUUGUGUUUUCCUCUUGCAGAUGCGAUCGUUGUUGUGAUAGAGCUGCAGUGGUGGUGUAGGUAAGAUAAGGCACUCCCUUCCUCUCAUGUGCUUUCUCUUUCGCUCUGUGUGUCCAUGGCCAUCAAGCCGUGGUAGGUUCUAUGCUGGCCAUGGAAAUUUCUAGGAUUUGGGGCUAUGGUGACGGUUUGUUGUGAUAACUAGCGCCACCAUUUCUCUUCUUCUGUUUGUGUCCACGACGUGUCAUGGUGAGCAUUGUGCUCGCCAUCGCGCGAUGGCAAUCUCUAGUUUUGUUGGGCUGUGGUGAUGGUCACCAUUUGAGUGGAUUUAGCCCUGGAGGACUAAGUGUUUUAGAUUGCCUCAUGGUUCAUAGAAUUUAUUAAUCCCCAAUAUGGCACUAUUUCUUUUUUGUCCAUUGAAUUUCUUCAUUAUUUCUGUGUAGACUAUGUAUGCUUUUUUGCCAGUUGCAAUUAAUUGUUCGCGGUAUUUGUUCUUGACCUGCAUAUUUGGAAUCAACUGGCCAGGAACCAGUCAAAUUUUCUUAUUUGUAAGGAAGGUAUGGGGGAAACAAAUAAUACCCUUUUGAAAUUUUAUGAGAUAAAAGUGAGAUAGAAACAAUCUGCCAUGUGAAAUCAUCAUAUAUUCCCUAUCUGUGUUGGGCAUAAACCAGUCAUAUCUUCCUAACUUAGUUCUUGCUGUGUAUCUAGAAACUGGUUUCCUGAAGCUAUUCCCCAACUUCAUUGACCUACGGAUAUAAACCUUGAUGGAUUUUAGGUAUUUCUUAGCUUGGUUGGCCUACUGAGAUGAACACUUUUUCUUUUUUGUGAGACUUUGAGAACAGAGUCGUUGCUCUGUUGGUAAGGUGUGCGGAUGCAUAUUUGAGUCUUAGACUCCGCGGUGUCUCAGGUUGUUUCUUCUAUAUAUAAAAAAUGCCGCCAAGUGCUCCUGUUUGGUCCCCCUUUUCAUAUUCUGAGACCUUGAAAUAUAACUUCCUGUAAUUUUGUUAUCAUUCUGCAUUUCAAGAACCACCGAUUGUAAAGUUGAUUUGUAAAUCGUUUACGCAAUCUCUCGUGUUGUGCAUAAGUGUUAAGAGUGUAAAGUUUCAUCCAAUUCCUUUUUUUUCAUGAAUUUUAGGUUAUUCUUUGAGGUCUCCUAAUCUUCUACAACCUCGGCAGUGGUGGCUGCCUCUUCUUGGUUCAGGUAAGCCCUUGAUGUCCUAUCUCUCUCCUCCUCCGAGAUGGUGUCUGGCCAUCAAGCCAUUGAUUUAGUGUUCAGAUCCACGGUGCUGGUCUUUCGGCGGUCCAUCAAGCCAUUGAUGUUCAUCCCUAUUAGCUGGCUGCGUUGAUUGUUUUGAAAUGUUAAGCAUUUUGGGCAGCUAAGGGUUUAGUUGGAUUCAAAAUGUGAAAACUAAGCCCUCGAACUAACCAAAUGUUGCCUCUCAGCUAUGGAGCAAAAUUAUAUGAUUUCGUCUUUGUUUAUUAUCUUGUCGCCUUGCUAGACGAAAUGGGAAUAUAUGCAUUGGUUUUUGACAUUAUGUUGUAACUAGGUAGGGUGAUUUUUGUCAAAUGCUUAAAAUCAGAGAAUGGUAUGAGUUGAUUGUUUUUGACCCGAGAUCAAAAUGCAUGUGAUUAGAUAAUCCGGUACUAUAUGGCAGAACAUUUGGGCAUGAUAUAGUGACUAUUUAACAUGGUUAUGCUACUGUUUGGGUUGUGAUUCUACGGAUAUGCUUCCUGGCAUUGCUAGUAUUGGUAGGUGAUUGUUGGUCUUGUUUAAUAGGAUUGAACAAGAAAAGAGAGAUAUUCUCUACUUGAUUUCUUACAAAAUGUGUUAGCGUUGUGCUUUGUGUUGCUGAAAAGAAGUUUGGCAUGCUUGACCUAUUCCCAUGUGCUGGUGCAGUGGUGCAGUGUGCAGUGAUUAUAGAACACGAUGGCUUGACUAAUUGUAACCUGCAAUGAAGCACAUUUUAAGAGAGCAUCAUGGAAUAAUCUUGGUUUCUAGUUGGUACUGUCUAGUAGGUGAUGUUUGAUUUUAUAGGCCUUUUUUUACCAAGGCAUGGGCAUGUGUAGUAUUGUCUUGGUGUUGUGCAAUGUGUACUAUUCCGUUCAUUUUAAUUUGGUUUUGUAAAUAUUUAUUAUGAUUUGGUUAAACCAAAGAUAUUGUGGAGUAGCUCCAAGUGUAUGCGUCGUGCAUAGUGCUGAUCUACCUGAACACAUAUUUACGUUCUUUUGAGCCAUGGACCUUUGCUCCCUUGUACUCCCUCCGUUCCAAAUUACUCAUCGUGGUUUUAGUUCAAAUUUUGAACUAAAACCACGACGAGUAAUUUGGAACGGAGGGAGUAGAUAUUUAUUUUGUCAGCAUGCACCCCUUGUUGAUGCAUUAGAUAGAGGACCUGACCCAUCCUGGUUGUUUCUUUGAAUAUUACUACAGGAGUGGAAGUCGCAGGCUGAGGGAAGGGAAGUUUAUACUCCACAUGGGAAGGAAAGGAGGUGACAGACCCAAGUGUUGUUUGCUUGCGCGGUAGUUGCAACAAACAUGCCCCAAGUGUUGUUCCUUCAAGACUUUUUGUUGCUGUGGACACAUGUGUUUGUUAUGGUUGGUUUAUGAUGAGUCACAACAAAAAACUUGGGUUGUUGAUGUGUCUGUGAAACAAUCAAUUUCUUUUUGUUUGUUUGUUUGUAUCGAACCCAAGGAAGGAGCAUAAUACUUUGAAGCUGCCGAUCGAAUUGGUGGUUUUGAGGGUGGUAUUAUAUAUUGAACUCACUCAUCUACUGGUCCAUAUUUAUUUAUGUUUGUGGAAUUUGCAGUGCCUCAUUGGAUUUAUCAAAUAUUUUCUAGAGGAAGUUAGGUUGAAUUGAUGAUGAGUUAUGUAUUGGCUGCCCCAAGUUGGGUUAGUUGGUUCCCCUUUAUUAUGUAGAAUGUAUCCAAAUGGUAUGGAAUGUAUGUUAUUUAUAAGUGCUCCACCAUGAUGGUACGACGCGGCGGUGGAACUGGUUGUUGAUGAGGGAAGGUCUUGGUCGACGAGCUCCUCUACAUAUUGAGGAAUGCCGAUGGGUGUUGCUUGCUUCAUGCGAAACUGCUGUGAAGUUGUGCAAAAUCUAGCAAGGAGUUGUUGCCACGAUCAAUCAAGUGGAAAAUAUGUUUGAACGAAUCAGUCCAGUCAGGCUUGCUUGUUUUGAUUAGAUGCACACCACAACACCACUUAUGAAGAAAGAAAUUUGAGUCUUUACGUCGUGAUCCAAUGGAAGAUGUU
rnacentral:lncRNA from 1 species